rnacentral:rRNA from 1 species
GCUCGUAGUUGGAUUUCUGUCGUGGUCGUCCGGUACCGCCCGUAUGGGUGUGCACCUGGUAUGCCCUCGGCUUUCUUCUGGUAGCCUUCCGCGCUUCAUUGCGUGUGUUGGUGUUCCGGAACUUUUACUUUGAGAAAAAUAGAGUGUUUCAAGCAGGCUUGUCGCCCUGAAUACUUCAGCAUGGAAUAAUAAGAUAGGACCUCGGUUCUAUUUUGUUGGUUUCUAGGACCAAGGUAAUGAUUAAUAGGGACAGUUGGGGGCAUUCGUAUUUAACUGUCAGAGGUGAAAUUCUUAGAUUUG